CCUACGGGUGGCAGCAGUCGAGAAUCAUUCACAAUGGGGGAAACCCUGAUGGUGCGACGCCGCGUGGGAGAAUGAAGGUCUUCGGAUUGUAAACCCCUGUCAUGUGGGAGCAAAUUAAAAAGAUAGUACCACAAGAGGAAGAGACGGCUAACUCUGUGCCAGCAGCCGCGGUAAUACAGAGGUCUCAAGCGUUGUUCGGAAUCACUGGGCGUAAAGCGUGCGUAGGCUGUUUCGUAAGUCGUGUGUGAAAGGCGCGGGCUCAACCCGCGACGGCACAUGAUACUGCGAGACUAGAGUAAUGGAGGGGGAACCGGAAUUCUCGGUGUAGCAGUGAAAGGCGUAGAUAGCGAGAGGAACACUCGUGGCGAAGGCGGGUUCCUGGACAUUAACUGACGCUGAGGCACGAAGGCCAGGGGAGCGAAAGGGAUUAGAUACCCGAGUAGUC
rnacentral:rRNA from 1 species